UGCGCUAAAUGAUGAGCCUAAGUCGGAUUAGCUAGUUGGUGGGGUAAAGGCCUACCAAGGCGACGAUCUGUAGCGGGUCUGAGAGGAUGAUCCGCCACACUGGGACUGAGACACGGCCCAGACUCCUACGGGAGGCAGCAGUGGGGAAUAUUGGACAAUGGGCGAAAGCCUGAUCCAGCCAUGCCGCGUGUGUGAAGAAGGCCUUUUGGUUGUAAAGCACUUUAAGCGAGGAGGAGGCUACUAGUACUAAUACUACUGGAUAGUGGACGUUACUCGCAGAAUAAGCACCGGCUAACUCUGUGCCAGCGGCCGCGGUAAUACAGAGGGUGCGAGCGUUAAUCGGAUUUACUGGGCGUAAAGCGUGCGUAGGCGGCUUUUUAAGUCGGAUGUGAAAUCCCCGAGCUUAACUUGGGAAUUGCAUUCGAUACUGGGAAGCUAGAGUAUGGGAGAGGAUGGUAGAAUUCCAGGUGUAGCGGUGAAAUGCGUAGAGAUCUGGAGGAAUACCGAUGGCGAAGGCAGCCAUCCGGCCUAAUACUGACGCUGAGGUACGAAAGCAUGGGGAGCAAACAGGAUUAGAUACCCUGGUAGUCCAUGCCGUAAACGAUGUCUACUAGCCGUUGGGCCUUUGAGGCUUUAGUGGCGCAGCUAACGCGAUGAGUAGACCGCCUGAGGAGUACGGUCGCAAGACUAAAACUCAAAUGAAUUGACGGGGGCCCGCACAAGCGGUGGAGCAUAUGGUUUAAUUCGAUGCAACGCGAAGAACCUUACCUGGCCUUGACAUACUAGAAACUUUCCAGAGA
rnacentral:rRNA from 1 species